rnacentral:rRNA from 1 species
UACUGGAAACGGUAGCUAAUACCGCAUAACGUCGCAAGACCAAAGAGGGGGACCUUCGGGCCUCUUGCCAUCAGAUGUGCCCAGAUGGGAUUAGCUAGUAGGUGGGGUAACGGCUCACCUAGGCGACAUCCCUAGCUGGUCUGAGAGGAUGACCAGCCACACUGGAACUGAGACACGGUCCAGACUCCUACGGGAGGCAGCAUG